UGGGGAAUAUUGGACAAUGGGCGAAAGCCUGAUCCAGCCAUGCCGCGUGUGUGAAGAAGGUCUUCGGAUUGUAAAGCACUUUAAGUUGGGCGGAAGGGCAUUAACCUAAUACGUUAGUGUUUUGACGUUACCGACAGAAUAAGCACCGGCUAACUCUGUGCCAGCAGCCGCGGUAAUACAGAGGGUGCAAGCGUUAAUCGGAAUUACUGGGCGUAAAGCGCGCGUAGGUGGUUUGUUAAGUUGGAUGUGAAAUCCCCGGGCUCAACCUGGGAACUGCAUUCAAAACUGACUGACUAGAGUAUGGUAGAGGGUGGUGGAAUUUCCUGUGUAGCGGUGAAAUGCGUAGAUAUAGGAAGGAACACCAGUGGCGAAGGCGACCACCUGGACUAAUACUGACACUGAGGUGCGAAAGCGUGGGGAGCAAACA
rnacentral:rRNA from 1 species